CCUAUCAACCCUUAAUCUCAAUCUCACUCUCUCUUGUUCUUUUCCUCAAACCCAACCAGCCCUAGCCGCCAGCCCCAAUUUUCUUCCUCAAACCCAACCAGCCUUCCUCUAUCCCUCUUUGACAGUGUGCAUGGAGGACUUCGCGCGCAGGCGAGGUGGGUGGCUGAUGGUCUGAUCACGGCGGCGGGCUCGAUGCAGAGGCAGGGGGCUCGGCUCUCUCACUCCUUCAUCCUCCCAUCUCUCGCUCGGGUUGGGCUCGACAACUGCCGGAGGUUCAAGGGCUCAACAACGGCUGGGGGCUCAGGGGGUGGGCUCGAUGGUGAGUGGGGUUCUCCGGGCUAGCUGGGCUCGACGACGCGGGGGUUGGGAUCAACCGCGCAAGGACGGGGCUGGCUGGACAGCACAUGGUAGCGCGGGUUCACAGGCUUAAACAUAGCUGUGAGUAAUCACUUUGGAAGCAUGGGAGGUGGUCAUUAUACUGCGUUCGUCCAUGAUUACAAGAAAAACGAAUAUAUGGAGGCAGGAAUGCAAUGUUCAAAUGCUUUACAAAGCAUGGAAAGGAAGCUUAGAACAACUUGCAAUGCUACAAAUGCUAAGUUCGACAAUGUUGUGAAGGUAGGCAUUUUCGAUCCUUGGUGGUCUUGUAUCAGAGUAUGAAAAAUCAAGUCAUGGUCCAAGAAAAUGGCAGAAGCUAGCUAUGUUCUUACAAAAUAGGUUUGCAAUGAUUUUUCCUCCUUUUUCUUUUUCAUUUCCUUUUGUAGAUGCGAAUAGUAUGUAUAUGGGCAUGCCUUUUGAUGUCUUUUGAAUUCAAUGAAAAUCCCAAUUUGGAAGGUCCAAUACUUGAUCUCAUCAAGAGAUUAAUUGACCAAGUUGGAUUAGAGAAAAAUACACUUCUGUUAAAAUGCCGGUCAAUCGAAGAUAAGUUGGCGUUACUUAACAAGCAGCUGGAAGCAAUUGAUAAGUAAAAGUCUGAAUAUCUGAAGUGUUAUGAGGAAUCUAUCGAUGAGAAGAAACAGCUAGCUGAUGAAUAUGUGGCUCGUAUAGCAAACUUAUAGAGUAAUUGCAGUUCACUGGGUGAGAGGUACUCUAGCUUGUUGAAGGCACUGGAUACCACCAAGCAAGAUUUUGUGGACUGGCAAAGAAAAUACGAGCAGAUCUGAUGAAAUAUAUUUUUAUUAAGUUAGAUAUGUAAUUUUUGUCUUUGUAAUAUGUAAAUUUGGUUUAUUUUUUUAUUGUUGACUGUUGUUUGUGUAAUAAAUUUAUAAAAUUGAUGAAUAAAAAAGUUUAUAAGUUUAUUUCUUUUA